ACCCACAUUCUGCUCCCUAAUCCAAUGUCUGUGAGUAAUUCAAGCACAAAUUUUUCCGGAAACAUUUAUCUAUUGUCUGUUACGAACCAAAAUCCCCAUUUGAAGGCAUUUAUUAGCCCAUCAUAUCUCAUUGAUAUCAAUCUCUAUGGUUUCUGAAACGCUCAAUCACAUGUUCAGGUAUAUAAAUUGUAGUCUUCCAGUUUCACUGGCAAGUACAACAUCAAAGUUGGUUGGAAUGAAUCUCUUAGGUUUUUAAAAAAAAAUUUGUUCGCCCUAAUCUCUUUACUGUAUCACUACUCUGGCUUCUGCAUUCGUGCUUGCAGCAGGCGAUCAAGUUAUUUCAGGGUGAUAGCUACAGCUGCUAUCGGCGAAGUAAUUGGUUUUUUAUAAAGUUACUCAUUCGAUUUAGAAGAAUAAGAAUAAGAAGAUAAAUAGAGGGUUCCUACUAGGAUUGGAUGAGGAGGUGAAUCCGUUUGGGGUAAACCUUUUGCAGAUUAGGUCAACUAGGAAAUGCUUCACUCAGGCAGGGGGGUUGGCAGCAUAGCAAACAACAGCCUGCAAAUUAAUGGCUCCAAAUGUUUACAAAAUACAAGUCUGCAAAGCAUUCUGUUUUGAGGGGAGUAGUGGGUGGGUUGACUGCCCGUGGAGGAUGGAGAAGGUGUUGAUGACAAUGACCGAUCUUUGAUAAGUCUUUCCUACUUCAUUGUGUGAAUGGUAGAUUUUUUGACUCAUUAAAAUUAAGUUAUACACUGUUGAGAGUUAACACAUGAUUUCCUUGAAUGCAUUAUAACAAGCAUUUGCGGAAGAAUGUUCUCAGCGAACAAUUUUCCAUUUCAAUACAAGAUCCAGGAAAAUAUUUGUCUCAACUCUAUCACAUGAUUUUUCAUAUAAAUUUAAUGUUCAACUGUAAUUGUUUUUUUUUAAAUACCUAAACCAGAAAGUUCUUUUGUCUGAUAGAUUCACAAUUGUCUUUUACAGUCUUCACAAACUAAAUGCUUUCAUUUGUUAUUUUACAAUCUUGGCAGUGUGCUAUUUUAACUCAUGAUCAUCAUUACAUGAUCCAGGUAGAAGAGAAAUAGAGUCAUAACUCUUACCUAACUCUAUCGAGCGCUUCUUUGGACAUAAGAAACUACCAUUUUAAGGCAUACAUGGAUAAAUCACCACUGAUACGACACUUACAGUAUUUCGAGUGCAAAUAUUGUCGUGUGUUGGGAUGAUUUUACAACUACGGUAUUGUCUAUUAAUUAGUUUGUAUGUUUGGAUUGUACGCCUAUGUAGCUAUGAAAAGAAUUUUAUUAGCUUUUAUUGUCUUUAAUCAUAGGCUACAGUAUUAUAAUAUCGAUAGUAGGAAUAGCACUAAUGAAUGAUGGAUACAACAUAAAAAUAAAAUUAGAUAAAAUAAGCAGAAUACAAAAGUGAUGAAGAUUUAUAGCAUAAUUGUAUUUUAAAAUCGCUCUACACAAUCUUCAUCACUUUACCAACAAAGUGAUGAAGAUUUGUAAGUGCCGUAUCAGUGGUGAUUUAUCCAUGUAUGCCUUAAAAUGGUAGUUUCUUAUGUCCGAAGAAGCGCUCGAUAGAGUUAGGUAAGGUUAUGUCUCAAUUUCUCUUCUACCUGAAUCCUGUAAUGAUGAUCAUGAGUUAAAAUAGCACACUUCAAAAAUUGUAAAAUAACAAAUGAAAGCAUUUAGUUUGUGAAGACUGUAAAAGACAAUUGUGAAUCUAUCAGACAAAAGAACUUUCUGGUUUUACAACUACAGUAUUGUCUAUUAAUUAGUUUGUAUGUUUGGAUUGUACGCCUAUGUAGCUAUGAAAAGAAUUUUAUUAGCUUUUGUUGGCUUUAAUCAUAGGCUACAGGAUUAUAAUAUCGGUAGUAGGAAUAGCACUAAUGAACGAUGGAUACAUCCUGAACUUAAUGAGCAGAAUUUUGUGUAAUCAUCAAAUGGUAACUGAAAUCUCAUAUCAGUAUUUUAUUUUAGUCCUCAACUCCUUCGAAUUAUUCUUAAGCAUUCUUGAAUGCUCAAUAGUCAGGUAAAAUUGUAAAUUUUUUGAUCAUACAUGAUAUGAACUACCAGUUCAUGUAUAUGAAAACAAUUCAGAUAAACUACUUCUAUUGUGUGAGUGAUUCUUGAUUCCUCUACAGCUGUAGCGAAGCCUGGGAAAGCUUGAGAGGUAAUACUAAUGACAGUAAAGCUCAUUUUUUAUGACACAUCGCUUGCAUAUAAAGUUUAUGGUUGGUAUUUUUCUCUUUUUUCGGGUAUAAUUUGUUGUUCGUGAAAAUGGACUGUUGAUAUUAGAAGACCUAAUUGAAGGGAUCCUUUUUGUGCGGGUAGUGUUACAAUACACAUUAUGAUCAAUAUUAAGACUUUAGCUUUAAUUUUCUUCUUACCAUCAGUAAAUUGCUUCUUCAUUUCUAUCCCUUUUUUCCAAUUGGCUUAACGACAAUUCCAUGGCAGGAGUCAGUAAAGAUGCUAAAAUUUUAGGUCGUCGUAUGUUCUUUGGUAAUGGUGACUAUUUAUGAAAUAUUCGUAUUGGGUGUUUUGCAGGUAAUUAACAUUUUUUGUGGACCUAAAAGCUUUAGGAAGAGAGUCAGGAAAAGAUGGAGCCUAAGGUAUUUCCAAUAUGCGGGAGAAGUAUUAAGAUGAUAUAUGGAUACAUUCUUUCAGAAGUACGAAAGAAAUUACGUGUUUUUUUUUUUGAAAAAGGAUUCAAUUGUACUCUGGACGGUACUGAAAAUGGUCCUGUCAUUGUUCUCUCAAAAAAUUGUUGCUUGAUGUCACUGUUGUUGGAUGUGGACUGGAUUGUGCCGAAGGGACACAUCGAAGGGACACAAUGGCUGGAAACUUGGAAACGUGGAAAGAGCAUUAACCUUAGGGUGUCAAUUGUAAUUUACGCAUCAUUAGUAACUUUGGUUUAUUUUAUCAUAAUUUUGGUCUUGCAAUUUUUCCUGGAGACCUGAAGUGAGCCAAUAUCAUGAUAAUCCAUUUGUGUUACCAACUUAACAAAACUUUGGUAGGUUGCAAAUGGAAAAUGUGUUAUCUAGAAUUUGAGAAGAAUUCACGUUUAAGUCAUAUAUGUCGUUAUGUAAACUCUUUCUUUUAUUUAUUUAAAAUCUUUGUAA